ensembl:snRNA U6 U6 spliceosomal RNA
GUGCUUGAUUUGGAACACAUAUACUAAAAUUAGAACUAUACAGAGAAGAUAAUAGCUUCUGUGCAAGGAUAUCAUGCAAAUAUGUGGUGUUCCAUAUUUUU